UACGAAGGGGGCUAGCGUUGCUCGGAAUUACUGGGCGUAAAGGGCGCGUAGGCGGAUAGUUUAGUCAGAGGUGAAAGCCCAGGGCUCAACCCUGGAAUUGCCUUUGAUACUGGCUAUCUUGAGUUCGGGAGAGGUGAGUGGAAUGCCGAGUGUAGAGGUGAAAUUCGUAGAUAUUCGCAAGAACACCAGUGGCGAAGGCGGCUCACUGGCCCGAUACUGACGCUGAGGCACGAAAGCGUGGGGAGCAAACAGG
rnacentral:rRNA from 1 species